UCUCUUAUGCAUUUUUGUCCC
rnacentral:miRNA from 2 species